CGCACAUUGCGCCCUCUGGUAUUCCGGAGGGCAUGCCUGUCCGAGCGUCAUUGCUGCCCUCAAGCACGGCUUGUGUGUUGGGCUCCGUCCUCCUUCCGGGGGACGGGCCCGAAAGGCAGCGGCGGCACCGCGUCCGGUCCUCAAGCGUAUGGGGCUUUGUCACCCGCUUUGUAGGACUGGCCGGCGCCUGCCGAUCAACCAAACUUUUUUCCAGGUUGACCUCGGAUCAGGUAGGGAUACCCGCUGAACUUAA
rnacentral:misc_RNA from 1 species